ensembl:lncRNA
GAAGAGGAUUAGGGUCACUGGGGGGGGAGCGUAUUUUGUUUGUUUGUUAGUUGUUUUUUCCUUUUCAAAAAUUCUGAGAUCAAAAUCAGCUUGCAUAUAAUUCCAAACUUGACCAAUCUGUUUGUGAUAGAGUAAUUCAUUUCAAUUUUAUUUAUAUAGCAACAGCGGUCGCUUCACUACACUUUAUAUCGUAGGGUAGAAAACCUAUAAUAAUACAGAGAAAACCGCUACAAUCAACAAUUUCAAAAAGCACUUGGCGACAGUGGGAAGGAAAAACUCUUUUAACAGGAGGAAAUCUCUGUCAGAAGCAGGUUCAGGGAGGGGCAGUCAUCUGCUGCCAACACUUGGAGAGAGCAGAGGAAGACAGGACACAAGACACACUGUGAAAGAGAGCUACAUUGCAAAUCUGUUGAUGUGUAGAAACAUUAGCCUUGCUUUUACAUAAGAAAAUAUCCAGACCACAUACUGAUAAAUCAGUCACCCCUUUUUCUUCUUUCUUUCUUUUUUUUUUUUUUUGCAAAGAAACACCAUGCAGAUAAACUGCAGCCAUUUGUGCAGACAGACUGAGAUUAACUGUAAUGUUCUGGCAGUCUUGCUGCAUUUACAAAUUGGAGCACAGUUAUCUGCAAACUGUGAGGGACCCGAGAGUGACUCCAGUCAGUGUGACUUGGACUGCAAUUGUUUGGAGAUAAGUUUCCUCCCCUGUGAAUUCUGUUUUAUCUUUAGAAAUAGAGAAACUUUAGUGUCGAUUAUGUAGCCCUGCUGUCAAUAACAAGUUCAUUUAACUGCAAAAGAAACUUUAUUUAUUCAUUUUUAUUUACUGCACAAUUUCACAACAUCAUCUAUAGAAAGACCCACGCUGAGGGCCUAAGAGCAAGUGAAGUAGAUAGAAAAGCCUCAGUUAUCCAGAAAAUACUAGUAUGGAUUUAACAGCAAGCCUAAUCGGUUCUCCUCAAAGAGUUUUUAUCAUUUUGUGCCGUACGUAACAGUGCAAACCUCGCUGAAACUCCUUUGAGCACAACCUCUAACGCCUCAUCCCAGAAGCGCAGCA